UAGUUUGAAUGUUGUAAAUGAUGAUUGUUUGAGUUGAUUUAACGUUAUUUUUUCAAAUUUAUAUAGUUUUGAGUUGAUUUAAGUUUCUGGGUAAUGGUUUUUUGGAUAGUUUGUGCUGAAUUUUUGCGGAUUCAGAGAUAAUUUUUUUUUCACGAUCUGAAGUUUUCGAUUUUAUUCUAAUUCUAAUAUCGAUUUUCAUUUUAAUCCUCAAUCAUUUUAGCUUUUAAUCGUUUUCAUGUUUAGUUUUGUUUUUAAUUUUCAAUUAUAUUAGAUCUAAUUUUUCUGAUUUUCAAUUGAAAAUUAAUCUAAAGUUUCUGUUUGGUGCGAUUUGUUCUGAUUUUGUGCGUUGAUGGUGUGGUUGUGGGUGUUUGGUGCGGUUGCUUUGAUUUUGUGCGCCAAUGGUGGAAGGCUGGAAGCGUUGCUGUAAUGGUGGCAGGUUAGUUUGUAUUUCUUCAUUUUUUUAUAUUUAGUUUGUUUAAUUGGAUGGUUAGAAGUUUAGAACAUAUACGAUGUGUAAGCUGUGCUUGAUUGCGAGGGCUGUUCUCUGUUUUUGAAACACUAGUUUAGUUGUUUCUCUGAGUUUCGUCAAUUUGAUGUAGGCUGCGAAUGUCAUAUGCUCCUAGAUCUUGAGUUUUUGUUUUUGGUGGAAUUGAAGUGUGAUUGCUGUUAAUUUGUGUGUUUAUUUUGAGGAAUUGAACUAUAUAGCUGAUAUUAUUUGAAAAUUUUGAUCCUUCAACUUGUUAAUUGUAUUAAAAUUCUGACCAUUGAUUUGGAAAACGAUGAUUAUUCUUAUGUAAUUGAGUUGUUUUCUGUCAAAUUUUGGAAAUAUGAAGUUUUUCUAUGUGGGUAUUUCUGGUGUUGAUGGAAUUUCGACUAGGUUGCUGCAAGAUUUUGGUUUUUUUAGGGAGGGUAUUGGUGGUAGGGAAGGGGUUCUAUAUUUUGAUUAUGUGGGGAUUUGCGAUUGAGGAAGCGGUGUUUCGGGUUGCUGGCAUUGUUUGGAACAGUAUGAGAAUUCUUCUCUGUUGGUGAUGUUGGUACUAUUGAUGAACUUGAGUUGAUCUUGUGGAGUUGUGGGUGCUCUCGAUUGUUAGGAUUGAACUUGCUUGUUGGCUGGCUGUGUAAUGUAUUUUUUGAGUUUUUUUUUUUUUUUUUUUUUUUUUUUUUUUGUUUUUUUCCUUUAUCUUCUGACAAUGUGGGCAGUUCUAAUAUUGAUGGUAUUGAACUGGGUGUGAGCAGUUUUGGCUGGAAACCGACAAGGCGACUUAUCUGCUCAGGCAGUAUUUCUUCAAUAAUCUCCUUGAUCAGCUCAGUACAAGGCCUUUUCUUAGCCUAAUUGAGAAGAAAUGGCUUGCUUUUCAGCUUUUGUGUGCAUUGAAGCAGAGUCACGAGCAUGAUAUUUGUCAUGGUGAUAUUAAGUGUGAGAAUGUGCUGGUUACUUCUUGGAAUUGGGUUUACCUGGCUGACUUUGCAUCUUUUAAACCAACCUAUAUUCCUGAUGACGAUCCAUCUGAUUUCUCAUUUUUCUUUGAUACUGGGGGAAGAAGGCUCUGUUAUCUCGCACUUGAGAGAUUUUAUGAGCAUGGAGAUGAUAUGCCAGUCGCGCCUGAUGCACCGCUUAAGCCAUCUAUGGACAUCUUUGCAGUAGGUUGCGUGAUAGCAGAGCUUUUCCUUGAGGGCCAUCCACUAUUUGAACUUUCGCAGCUGCUUGCUUACCGAAGAGGGCAAUAUGAUCCUAGUCAGCAUCUUGAGAAGAUCCCUGAUCUAGGAGUACGGAAGAUGAUUCUUCACAUGAUCCAGCAGGCAACAGAACAGCAGCUAUAGAGCAAGCAGCUGACAGCAGCUAACAAAGCAGAGAACAAAACAAUAGCAGCAAAAGUCAUAACAACAGCAAGCAAAAGCAGAACAACAAGAGCAGUGCAGACAGAAGACACAUAGCAGCCAGAACACCUUGACACACUGCAUGCAACAUAACAGGCAGGCAGAAGCAGAGACAAGCUAGCAGCAUGCAGCACAGAAACCAGCAGCCUGAACCAGCACACACCAGCCAGAGCCAAAGCAGCCAGAAACAGAAAAAAAAUGAAAAUAUGUAACUUUAUAUAUAUGUUAGUGUUUCUAUAUCAAUUUAAGUGAAAAAAAUGC